UUGACGAGGAACCUUUGGACAGUUUCGAAAACUGUGAGAAUUCCAUCCUUACUACUUUCCGACGAAAAAAUCCUGAGAAAUAUAAUUUGUUGGAAAAGAGGUUGAGGGAGCCGUUAGCAGAACAAUUUAAAUUACUCCGAGAUUUGAGCGACCGCGUUUCAAAGGACUUGGAACAAAUGAACAUUAUUGUUAAUUAUUUGGAGGACCAGUUGGCUCCCGUGACACCAAAGAAAAAGAGAGUGAAAUUCACAACUUGUGAUAUUGACAUUAACAAUAACGUCAAUACCAUACUAUGAAUUGUGUAAAACUGUAAAUAUCCAUUGAGAUUUGUUUGAUAUUUUAUAUACUGAUUGACAAUUUCUUAUUGUUAAUCAGUUCAUAAUUUAAUAAGAAAAAAAAGUAACGUUAUAGAGGGCAGCUUUUAUUGUACAAGUAGAUGGAAUUUUACUUUUUAUGUCUUCAAAAUAUCCAUAAAUGUGUUCAUAAUUUCGUGGUAAAUAUGAUAAUAAAAUAUUACUUACUCAA